UCCCUACGGGAGGCAGCAGUGGGGAAUAUUGGGCAAUGGAGGAAACCCUGAACCAGCCAAGCCGCGUGAGGGAAGACGGCCCUAUGGGUUGUAAACCUCUUUUGUCGGAGAACAAAACCCGGGACGUGUCCCGGACUGCGCGUAUCCGAAGAAAAAGCAUCGGCUAACUCCGUGCCAGCAGCCGCGGUAAUACGGAGGAUGCGAGCGUUAUCCGGAUUUAUUGGGUUUAAAGGGUGCGUAGGCGGUCCGUUAAGUCAGCGGUAAAAUUGCGGGGCUCAACCCCGUCGAGCCGUUGAAACUGGCAG
rnacentral:rRNA from 1 species